UACGGAGGAUGCGAGCGUUAUCCGGAUUUAUUGGGUUUAAAGGGUGCGUAGGCGGGCUUUUAAGUCAGCGGUAAAAAUUCGGGGCUCAACCCCGCCCGGCCGUUGAAACUGGGGGUCUUGAGUGGGCGAGAAGAAGGCGGAAUGCGUGGUGUAGCGGUGAAAUGCAUAGAUAUCACGCAGAACCCCGAUUGCGAAGGCAGCCUUCCGGCGCCCUACUGACGCUGAGGCACGAAAGUGCGGGGAUCGAACAGG
rnacentral:rRNA from 1 species